rnacentral:piRNA from 1 species
UAAAUUCUGAGUUUAAGAAUC